AGGAGGCUGAAGUGGGAAGAUCGCUUGAGGCCAAGAGUUCAUGACCAGCCUUGAGGGCAACACAGCAAAGGCUGGCAUGUCUCUAAUUCUUUCUUGCAGUGGCCCCUCCCUUCACCUCCAAGCCGGAGCAUGGCCUCACCCCUCCUAGGUGACUCUCUCCCCAGAAAUGGUGCUGUCUCAAGAAGCCCCCUCUCACUAAGCAUCUGCCAGGCCAUUGCAGCUCCCAGGAGUCCUUGUCCUGCCCCACCAGCUCUGUCUCAUCUAGAUGGGGCCCUCUGUCCAGUGGUACUGAACAGAAUGUUCUGCAUGCCUGGCCAGCACAGAGACCUCCUUGCACCCCUGCUCCAAGGCUGGCUCUGCCACUGAUAGAUAGACUGACAUUUGCACUGUUCUGAGCCCCUGGGGGUGCAGUAUGCAGAGCUAGGCCAUCUCUGUCAUCCUACAAGAACUAGGCAGCCCUGAGCAAGGGUUUUAACAUGCAAGGUGUACUCCGCUAGUCUUAAGAUAUCUUGAGCCACUGUCUUGCUGUUCCCAACUCCCAAGCCAUGCUGACUUUCUUUCCCUCAGGACAGAAACACCUCUGCUGAUCCCUGAUCCAUAUCCCUCCCCCUGAAAGAAAUAUAACACAUAAAAGAGAGCCCUCUCCACUGAGUACCUCCCUUCCUUUGUAGCACUUACUUCAACUGACCCUUACAGGGAUUGUGUAACUAGACUAUGAAUAUCAUGAAGAAUACUCCUUGUCUCCGAUCCCCUACUAAAGGCUCCAACCCCAGGGAGUACCCCUCCCCUGGCCUGGGGAGGAGAAUCAAGAAGAUCUCUUUAGUAAAAGGUCUGGUUGGACUGGGACAUAGGUCUUUCCUGAGCAAGAACUCUAAAGCCCACUUGUUUCCUUACUAGAAGAUGAAGCUUAGAAAUGUUCUUUCUUAUUUAAAACCAUGGCUUGCAAUGCUGCUUGGCCCUCAAGUCAAGCAGAAGCACAGCCCACAUACCACACAACACAGGAUUUCCUCACGGUUCAUCUUCCAAGUGAGAAGUGAAAGGAACGUCGUGGGAAACCACAAGAGUCUGUUCUAAUGAUAAAGCAGAGGUCCAGAGAACUGUGCUUACCCUCAGCAGUGCACAGUGGUGAUGAACAACACGCCAAGCAGAAGAGAAAGGGCCAGGACCUUGGACGAGGGCUGAAUUCAGAAUCAGCGCAUAGGAGAAGUGAAGUUUGAGACUUCGGAGAAUGAGCCGAAGGGAGACCUUUCUCACUGUCAAGGCGGUGAAGCACAGCCCGCAGAGGGGAGGUGUUUCACCUGGGAGCGCUCAUCACAUGCUGUGCCUAGAAUCGAAGUCCAGGCUCACACCAGACCUCCAAGGCCAGAACCCGAAGACUGGAUCUUCUGAGAACAUCACAGAAAGACUGUCCUUGCCAUCCGCACUGCAACAAAACUUAGGGAUCUUGAAACUUGGGUUCAUAAUCUCACAACUGAGGAUCCAUCCACACUCCUGGAACUGUACACCCAUUGGAACCUUUAAGAAGACGGAGCCAGGUGUACAGAGCGGAACAUGAAAGUGAAACAGGAGCGUGACUGCUGAAGCACAGCAUCACAGGGACACAGGCCUCUGGAUGGCUGCGGGCGGGCCUGACUGAUGUCAGGCUUUCCACAAAAGAUGGUGGAGCAGAGUCUUCUCUAACCCCUCCCCGCACCCCAUCCCCGCAAGGGAGACUCCCUUUGCUGGUCGGCUAAGUAAUGGGUGCUUUCCCAGGCACUGGCGUUACUGCUAGACCAGGAGCCCUCUAGUGGCCCUAUCUGGGCGUGACAGAGGGCUCACGCUCGUCUUCUGGUCACUUCUCACCGUGUCCCUUCAGCUCCUAUCUCUGUAUGGCUUGGUUUUUCCUACGUUAUAAUUGUAGAAAAGAGAUUGUUAUAAUAUUGGAAUAAAAAGUAAUGCUACAAACUAAUGAUUAAUAAUAUUCAUAUAUAAUCAUAUCUAUAAUCUAUUUCUAGUAUAACUAUUCUUUUUGUUUUGUUUUGUUUUUUGUUUUUGUUCUUGUUUUUUGAGACAGAGUCUUGCUCUGUCACCUAGGCUGGAGUGCAGUGGCGCAAUCUCGGCUCACUGCAAGCUCUGCCUCCCGGGUUCACACCAUUCUCCUGCCUCAGCCUCCCGAGUAGCUGGGACUACAGGCACACGCUGCCACGCCCGGCUAAUUUUUUUGUAUUUUUAGUAGAGAUGGGUUUCACCAGGUUAGCCAGAAUGGUCUCGAUCUCCUGACCUCGUGAUCUGCCCACCUUGGCCUCCCAAAGUGCUGGGAUUACAGGCAUGAGCCACCGCGCCCAGCCUAGUAUAACUAUUCUUAUUCUCUCUAUAUAUUUUUUAUUAUACUGGAACAGCUUGUGCCCUCGGUGUCUUGCCUUGGCACCUGGGUGGCUUGCUGCCCACACUCACCUAAGUGAGAACCUGGACAAAAAGGGGGAAUUUAUUAAAAUAAAAUUAUGGGAGGCCAUUGUUUUGGACUGAGUUCAUGCACUAGGUCCCAACAGACUAAGCCAAACAAAAAUGGAGUCACUCAUGCUAAAUGUGACAUAAUCAAACUAAGACUUUAAGGAAACACAUAGAUCCUAACACAUUCCCCUAUAAACAGGACGUUCCAGCAUAAUGAAGUGCCCUCAGUCCUUGUUCCUACCUUUGCAAAACUCACUGUUCUACUGUUUCUCAGAGGGUUUCAGGACCAAAUAAGUACAUUUACGAUGGUGAUAGUGACAUCAAUGACUAAAGUUUUGGUCAAUCUCUCAAAAUUGAGAAAAUGACCAAAAGGGUGGAAUUGUUAAAGCAAACUAAAUAUGGCCUGAGAAGGACUCCGUACUUCUCUAUUUGAGUCCUUGUGGAUGAACUGCAACCUAACUUAUUUGGUAGACAAGAUUGAAACCCUGAAACCCUAACUUGGGAGUCUGCACCUGUGGCAGUACCUGAGUCUUGGCCAAUCCCAGCAGCCGUACUUCACUCAUUCACUGCUGAGAGUUCAAACUGUGUCCACAUAAGGCAAAUGCCGAGCUGCAACCAACCUAGCUGUUUCUGUACCUCACCUCCAAUUUCUGUACGGCACUUCCCUUUUUUGUCUAUAAAUUUGUUCUGACCACGAGGCAUCCCUGGAGUCUCUCUCAGUCUGCUGUGAUUCUGGGGGCUGCCCAAUUCAUGAAUCAUUCCUUGCUCAAUUAAACUCAUUUAAAUUUAA